CUUCCUUUGGUCUCCAACAUAUUUCAUCUUUCUUCAAGCUGAUAUCAACAACAGUAUUCCCAAUUGAUGAAGGAUGCUGCCAGGUUUCUUCUGUACCAAGCUCACGGCAGAAAGUAAUCAGCUCACCUUGGGAGCACUGUGGUCCAGCUGCUUCCGGGAAGGAAGAUGACACUUCUCAUGGCUCCUCUGCACCAAGCUGCCUCCUCUCUAAUGAACAGGACUGGUGCUGUU